rnacentral:rRNA from 1 species
CCUACGGGUGGCAGCAGUGGGGGAUAUUGGACAAUGGGGGGAACCCUGAUCCAGCGACGCCGCGUGAGUGAAGAAGUAUUUCGGUAUGUAAAGCUCUGUCAGCAGGGAAGAAAGAAAUGACGGUACCUGACCAAGAAGCCCCGGCUAACUACGUGCCAGCAGCCGCGGUAAUACGUAGGGGGCAAGCGUUAUCCGGAAUUACUGGGUGUAAAGGGAGCGUAGACGGUUAAGUAAGUCUGGAGUGAAAGGCCGGGGCCCAACCCCGGGACUGCUCUGGAAACUAUUGAACUUGAGUGCAGGAGAGGUAAGCGGAAUUCCUAGUGUAGCGGUGAAAUGCGUAGAUAUUAGGAGGAAUACUCAUUGCGAAGGCAGCUUACCAAGCUACUUCUGACGUUGAGGCACGAAAGCGUGGGGAGCAAACAGGAUUAGAUACCCCAGUAGUC